GACGUAGGGCGCGAGCGUUGUCCGGAUUUAUUGGGCGUAAAGAGCUCGUAGGCGGCUCAUCGCGUCUGCCGUGAAAACCCGCAGCUCAACUGCGGGCUUGCGGUUGAUACGGGUGGGCUGGAGUUCGGUAGGGGAGACUGGAAUUCCUGGUGUAGCGGCGAAAUGCGCAGAUAUCAGGAGGAACACCGAUGGCGAAGGCAGGUCUCUGGGCAUUUAACUGACGCUGAGGAGCGAAAGCAUGGGGGAGCGAACAGG
rnacentral:rRNA from 1 species